rnacentral:lncRNA from 1 species
AGAGAAUUCUAAUUAAAAUUCAUAGAAUGUUUUAAAAUUUACAUAGUGUAGUUUAUGUCAUGCUUUUUUCCAUUGUAAAAUAAAAGUAUGGGUCACCGAACAUUUUCACGAUACAUGUUCUGCAAAAUUAUCAGAUUGAUUGUAGAUUAUGCAUGGCUAAUCGAAUUUUGUGUGAUAAAGAGAAAACGAUACAAUUCAUUUUUUUUUAUAAAAUGUUAGAAAAUAGCUCGUAG